CGGCUCAUUUCGCAUUGAUCGCAUCGAAUGCGAUACCAGACGUGUGUCGAUAUCCCUCUCUCCCUCCAUCCUUUCUCGUUCACCGAUUUUUAGUGCCGAAAUUCUACAUGGCGAUUUUUUUAUAUGAUGUUUGAUAGAAAAAAGUUGACAAUCGUACCGAAGAGGUUAAACAGAAAAAGAUAAAUAUACCUUCGUAAAUAUGAUAUAAAUGGUAAUUUCUAAAACAUGUAAUUAUAUGUUUUAAUUACUGUUAUAAAAAAUGGUGAUAGAAGAAUUCAAAAAUGAUUUUCACACCUAUAGUUAUGAUAUGUUAGAUAAGAAAAAUCAUAAAUAAAUGUGAAUCAGGAUUAUCAUCGUGCACUCACCAGAUGGCGUUUCGAAGUAAGAACGUUUUCCAUUCUCUAAUUUUAUUUAAUCUAUGUCGUAUUCUGGCAUUACUGUAAAAUUACGCGAAACUAAAGAUCGUGCAUUUAAUAAAAGCUUUGAUAACUUAAGUAGAAUAAAAAUGUUAUUAGCGAAAGAUAUUGCGUUAUAUGGAAAGAUCGAAGGAACGUGCUAUCAAAGUGAGAGAACGCAGGUGGCAAAGCAUAAAGUAAUACAUUCUAAGAUACUACUUUAUUGACUCUGAAUAUUGAAAAGGCACUUAAGUUAGACUAAAACUAUACCGUACACAGAAUGUCUUUGAGAAAAUGAUAUACUAGUCCAAUACAUUUAAGUCAAAAAGAGUUUAACAAAGAAGUAGCUCAUUUUAAAAUAAAGAAAAAAAAGAAGUAGUGAUUAAACGAACUUAUUGAUCUUUGUAUUU